rnacentral:RNase_P_RNA from 1 species
GGAGCCGGAUGGACCAGCGCCGCUGGGCAUAGCCCUGGGGAGGAAAGUCCGGGCUCCGCAGGGCGGAACGCUGGGUAAUGCCCUGGGAGAGACAUCUCCGGAAAGCGCAACAGAAAGCAAACCGCCGUUUUCGAUAUGAAAACGGUAAGGGUGAAACGGUGGGGCAAGAGCCCACCGGUUGUCGUGGUGACACGGCAAGCCAGGCAAACCCCGUUCGGAGCAAAACCAAAUAGGGGGGCGACAGACCGGCCCGGUCUGCCCCCGGGUAGGUUGCUUGAGGCUGCGGGUAACCACAGUCCUAGAUAAAUGCUGGUCUCCCCCGCAAGGGGUGACAGAACCCGGCUUAUAGUCCGGCUCCCGUA